GGAGGUUUGGGUGAGUGGUUUAAACCAGCAGUCUUGAAAACUGCCGACGGGGUGACCCGUCCGUGAGUUCGAAUCUCACAGCCUCCGCCA
rnacentral:tRNA from 30 species